rnacentral:rRNA from 1 species
UACGAAGGGGGCUAGCGUUGCUCGGAAUCACUGGGCGUAAAGGGUGCGUAGGCGGGUUUUUAAGUCAGAGGUGAAAUCCUGGAGCUCAACUCCAGAACUGCCUUUGAUACUGAAAGUCUUGAGUAUGGGAGAGGUGAGUGGAACUGCGAGUGUAGAGGUGAAAUUCGUAGAUAUUCGCAAGAACACCAGUGGCGAAGGCGGCUUACUGGUCCAUAACUGACGCUGAGGUGCGAAAGCGUGGGGAGCAAACAGG